AGCGGUUUCACGUUGCCAGUGUGUACGCAGAGACAAGGAGCCAACCCCAGCCUGGGACGGACACCAGGAAAGUGCCUAGAGAACUGAGCCCAAUAACCCAACUUCAACCACCCCGACUACGAGGCAGAAGAGACAGAGUGUCCAUGCCUUGGGACCCUGACAGACAUAUUCCUCAGGGUACAUUAUAGACACGCUUCCUGUUUUUCUAAAGUACAUACAUCAGCAAUUUCAACAUUCUUAGCAGGAAGGUUACCAGAUGUGUAACACAGACAGACCAGCUCAGAUCAUGGCAAUAGAGCAAUUCACUUGAGUAUGAAUACCAAAGAAGGCCAUUGGAGACUGGAGCCUUUGAAAUGUAAAUGAAGAAACAUGUCGACUUCAAAGCGUUGAUCUUUGUGUGUUCAAGAAUGAUAAAUCUAUGGACCUGAGCUGUGAUGGAAACGCUUGCCAGACUGUUUUCAACUAUAAGAAGGAAUCCUGGGAGUGAUUCUGCAGCUCUGAUCUAUUUGGAUGCUGUAAGGGGGCGUUCCAGAUACAAGACAGAGGUCCCACGAGCCAUUUUGGUAUCCCUGAGAGACUUAUGGGAAACUAGUAGAUACCACAUCACUGCUAUCAUUUGAACUUACAAACUCUGACUCACCUGUUAUGUAUUUCACCUGCUUUAACCUCUCAAUAACUCCCAUUUCUUUUUCUUCGCUAAUAAAUCUUUAAUUAGUUUACUAAAGGAUUGGCUAUCAGUGUUUUUGGUGUGAGAUCCAGAGCAUCCAUUGACUUGGGGUAAGUGAUUGGGCCUUUGGG